rnacentral:rRNA from 1 species
UACGGAGGGAGCUAGCGUUGUUCGGAAUUACUGGGCGUAAAGCGCGCGUAGGCGGCUUUUUAAGUCAGAGGUGAAAGCCCGGGGCUCAACCCCGGAAUAGCCUUUGAAACUGGAAAGCUAGAAUCUUGGAGAGGUCAGUGGAAUUCCGAGUGUAGAGGUGAAAUUCGUAGAUAUUCGGAAGAACACCAGUGGCGAAGGCGACUGACUGGACAAGUAUUGACGCUGAGGUGCGAAAGCGUGGGGAGCAAACAGG